UACAGAGACUGCGAGCGUUAUUCGGAUUCACUGGGCGGAAAGGGUGCGUAGGCGGUCGGGUAAGUCUGAUGUGAAAUCUCCGGGCUUAACCCGGAAAUGGCAUUGGAUACUAUUCGGCUCGAGGUCUGGAGGGGGGACUGGAAUACUUGGUGUAGCAGUGAAAUGCGUAGAUAUCAAGUGGAACACCAGUGGCGAAGGCGAGUCCCUGGACAGAUCCUGACGCUGAGGCACGAAAGCUAGGGGAGCAAACAGG
rnacentral:rRNA from 1 species